AUGGUUCUUAGAUGUCAUCCCUGCGGAGCGGCCACAGGGAGGGCAUUAUCCCUGCCCCCCGGGAGCCGGCCGGUUAACAGCAGUGAGGCAUUCUUAUGCCUGUGGGUGGGAAGGAAAGGGGCCAGGCUGCCCUGGUCGGGGACCCUCUCUCUGUUCUGCAUGCAGGGGGCCUGCCAAGCUAGACUCUGGAACGGAGGCAUGGGCCCAAUGCCCAGCCCAUGGGCUAACACCAGGCGGCAGAGGCAUCACUUUGGAUUUAGAAGUUUCAGCAAAAUGUCUCAAAGGCAAGAUCCUGAGAACGUCCCUUGAGCUCAGCCGAGGACCCCUCUCCCCACAGCGGUGACCGACGAGCAGGGCCAGAGGCGGCCAAGGCUGCUCCUCGUCCUCGGGUGCGGUCCACCCCACCCGCAUCUGUGCUGCGCUGAUACCGGCUCCGAGCAAGCCUCCUCUUGGUCCAGUUUGGAUGAUUUUCUCCGAGUGCAGUUCCUGGCGUUUUUCCUCCUGACACUCGUCUGCCAUUUUGCUCUCCACUCAUGGCCUUGAAAUACUUCCUGGACUGUGUCCACUUUUGCUCAGCGUGUCCUUGCAGACUGAGAAUUCUCCCCCCUUUUUAGCGUUGUUACAGGUAGUUAAGUGUGCUCUGGUCUGAGAGCCAGGCUUCAUGUCUGCAUCCUUUAGGCUCAAUUUUCUGUACUUUUCUUUGUUCUCAGUUGACUCGAAAAGAAAAAAAGAGAGAGAUGAUAUUUGUCCCUUGGAACAGGGGAGAGAGGGACAGAGUUUCAGCCUCCUCCCUUCCUCCCCUCUGCACACACAUCGGGUCCAGCUUUGAGCCCACUUUUGGAGAGCAGCAUGAGACAGCAGAAAGGUUUUAGGUUGUGGAGUCAGACCUGGCUUGAAUCUCAGCCCCUUUCUAGCUGUGAUACCUUGGGCAACUUACUUAACCUCUCUGAGCCUCAAUUUCUCAGUAUGAAAUGGAGGUAAUAAUCUCUGCUUCAGAGAACACCCAAACAAAGAAGGAGGCUGGAGCCAUUUGAUGGCCAGGGAUGAUGGAGGGUAAUUUAUUUCCCAGGUGCCCUGGCCUCCUUUGCUUCCAAAUUUUUAUAUGAGAAACAAGAGAAGCUCCAAAAAAAUGUGCUUUUAAAAGCUGAGCUGGUUGUGUACCCACGUUCAUAGCAGCAUUAUGUGUGAUAGUCAAAAGGUGGAAGCAACCCAAGGGUUGAAUACACAAAGCGUGGUGUGUGUAUACGAUGGAAUAGUAUUCAGCCUUACAAAGGCGGGAAAUUCUGACACGCGCUACAACAUGGAUGGGCCUGGAAGACAUUAUGGUAAGGGAGUAGGCCAGUCACAAAAAGACAAAUAC
rnacentral:lncRNA from 1 species